CCCCCCCACGUGACACCUACUCGCGCCGGCCCUACUUGUAUACUCUGAAAAACUUAAAGAUAACUCUACUAUGUAACAAAUGUUCAGAGCGUACCAAUCAGAUGAAUUUGAUGUAGACAAAAAGACUGAGUUAUCUUUAUUGCUGUUGCCUCACAUAUUGAUUCCGCCACCGCAACGAGGCCUAAAAGCUCCUAGAGUCUAGAGGGAUGUAGUUUCUAAUCUGAUGUUUGUGGAUAUGAACGAGGUAAGUUUAGAUUAUUUCUAAAAACAGUUCAAUCAUUCAAAAGUCACGCAAUUAUUUUCAAAAUGUCUUAUAAAUUGUAAAUCUAUAUUAAUUUUUAUUCAUACAGGAACAGAUGAGUGUCCCUGAAGCAGUUGCUUCUCUGCAAAAAAACGUAUGGGCAGGUAUAGACAACCUCCCGCCAAUACUUUUUCGUCUUGAUAAGAUUUAUUACAUCAAGUUGGAUGAUCGGGCCAUCGAACUUCGUGAUGCAGCUUGUUUUUGUGAUGCGAUGGAGUUUUUGUCGAAGUGUUUUUAUAUAUUUAAUUUAACUUAUCCACACGAAAGAAAGCCAGUUUAUGAUCUGCUUGAGCAUCUCACUCACAUUAAUGUUUUGAUCGGAAAAAGUGCCGCUUUACCAGACUUCUUGGGAGCAAUGACUUAAAAGUUGCACAAAAAAACUAAAAACAAUUAAUUUUUUUAUUUUAGUAGAAAAAACUUUAUUAAA